rnacentral:rRNA from 1 species
GAUGAACGCUAGCGGCAGGCUUAAUACAUGCAAGUUGAGGGGCAGCAUGAUAUACGCGAGUAUAUUGAUGGCGACCGGCGGACGGGUGAGUAAUAGGUAGGAGACCUACCUCAUACAGGGGGAUAGCAUAGAGAAAUCUGUGGUAAUACCCCAUGAGGUUAUAUGAAUAGAGGCAUAUAAUCAAAGCAUAAGCGAUUAUGCGGUAUGAGAGGGGCCUACUGACCAUUAGCUAGUUGGUGAGGUAAGGGCUCACCAAGGCGAAGAUGGUUAGGGGUUUUGAGAGAGAGACCCCCCACAUUGGAACUGAGAGACGGUCCAGACUCCUACGGGAGGCAGCAGUAGGGAAUAUUGGGCAAUGGGCGAAAGCCUGACCCAGCCAUGCCGCGUGAAGGAAGACGGCCUUAUGGGUUGUAAACUUCUUUACUACGCGAAUAGAGGUUAGUACGAGAUACUAAUAGGAAGGUAGUGUAGUAAAAAGCACCGGCUAAACUCGUG